GUCCUCUCCAAAUUCAGAAAUAUCUACGCUGGCUCUACCAGAAAAGGCAAAGGCAGUUGCUAUACAUUCCCUGAAAAAUGACAAAGGAGAUACAUCUCACUGUUGAUCCCAGUGCAAGAGGAAGACGAAAUUCUUUGCUGUGUUACGAUUAGGCCAUGUCCAUGCUUAUGAGACUCAACUCAUGUCGCUAGUCUUCCAUUGUCUUUGCUCCAGUUUCUCUCCCUACUACCCAGGACCCAAAGAAAGGCAGACACACAGCUGUGUAAAGAUCACAAGCCAAGGAGGGGGAAUUUGCAUACUACAAACUUGAUGUCGAAUAGAUGAAGCUCCCAUCCUCGUGUUACAAUGUUCCCAUCAGCCUUCUGCAGUUUGAAGCUUUGCAAAGUAAUUUCCUGCAGACCCGUUUCUCCAAGACUGAACUUCUAUUGACUGGUUGCUCUGAAAAGAUUGACUUAUUCUAAUGCUUUGACUUCCCAGAUGGAGUAAGGCAAAAGAGCACUUGUCCAAGUUAUGGCUGGGAGAGACUCAGAUCCCUGAGUCAGGGUGUAAGGCAUAAGGUUUUUUCAUUGGUUCUGCCAAAGCUAGUUUCUUCCCGACAAAUAUUGAACACCACUAAUGAGUUAGUGCAGUUGCCAUACAUACUCUGGUAAUGGGUGGGUUGUCUGUCUGAGGGUUCAUUGUUCUGAGUCCCCAUGGGUAUUUUAGUGGGAAGCUGGGUGAGGCCAAGUCAGAAACUGCUAGUUAGAUUCCACAUGAAACCAGCAAUGGCUGGUUUUGGAAGUUAGAUUUUCAAAAGCCUGUUUAUUCUGCAAACAGCAGAUAGUCCAUUAAUAUUAGAAACCCCAUAGUCUAAAGCUACAUGAUGAAAAUCUAGCUUUAUCUCUAACCUAAGACGAUCGUUUUUGAAGAGCCAGAAAAUCUUCUUGGUAUGUAUUUGUGUUGGAAGGAUUAGGGAGAAUCAUGUUUCCUCAAGGAAACAUCAAGGUGUUAAAGCAUUUUUUUUUACUGGUAGCUGGUCAAAAGUGACUGGAAAGAUAGGCUGUCUCUCAUGGUUGGAAGUGUUAGUAUUGUCUGGCCAAAAAAACUAAGUCAAGGAUGAGGGAAGGGCAGGAACUCCUCACCUGAAGCAUGGCACAUACUUGCAUUGUGCCAGGCACAGAGUUGAUGCUUUUUGAGUGAAUAAAUGUUGACUUGUUCUUGAGAGUAUGCAAAAUGCCCCCACGACCCUCCCAGAAAUAUUUUGGGUGAGGGUCCUUUGUAGGAAGCAGGUCUUCUGUGAGCUGGUGAGGUUUCCUCUGUGAGUGAUAUCAGGACCUGAAUGCGAUCUAUUUUUUGCCAAAAACCUUGUGAGGAUGCUUCUGUGAAUUAAUAUGGUCUAGAUCCCUAGGUUUCAAUACUUGUUUUAGCCGAAAAUCUGCUAAAUCUCUUCUUUAAGUGGAAACUCUGUAUUUAGAACAGGUAGAAGCGGAGAUUCUCUGGGGGAGGCCCUGAAGCAUAUCCUCCUGGGGUCUCUCCCCACAGUAGCCUCCACAGGGCACAGUUUGAAAACACUGGCCUAGAGAUCCAUUCUGGGCUAAUUAGAUUCCAUGAACAGGUGGAAGUAUAUUUAAUCUUUGCCCUUACUAUCCCUGAUUCAGGAGUUAAGAUUUGGUCAUUUGAUCUCAUUCUCGAGAUUCACUGAUUUCCUAAUCAAAUUCUGGGAGAUUACUCAACAAAAAUACUAUCAGGUUUAGGCUCCGGAGGUUGAACACUGUGACAAAUGCCACCUGGUAGUCGGCCAUUUGACACCAACUUCGCUUUGAGGCUUCCAAUUUUCAAGGCAAAUGUAUGGAGGAUCAAAGUUCUGCUUGAGGAAGAAAAUCUCACUUAUGGUUGAACCUGCCACUCUGAAUUUUCUUGGAGUGAUAGUAACUUAGCAAAAGUUCAUCUGGAGAUUUUAGAGUGAAACCUACAACGGCUGAUCUUCAAGAUACAAGCUAUAGCAGGGGUCUCCCAACCUCCCACACACCCCGCGGGCCGCACAGCAGGAGAUAAACCUGUGAGGUUGGGGAGGACUCUUUAUGAAAGCAUCCAGUGACCAAGAUGCAGCUGAUUACCUACCCAAGAAGGCUAAUUACAUGCUCUUCUUAUCACCUUCUACCUCAGCUUCGAUUCUUCCAGAUAAUAGAGAUUCCUAGCAGGGGUGAGGCUAAGUCAGGAGAUCUGCUGGGACUCCUGUAGCUUAGACGGGGCAGGAGGAAGAAGCCAGGGCCUGAUGUGCCAGGAAAAGAUUUUUCUAGGCAAACAGCUAAUAUGCUUGGCCCUAGAGGAUACUAAAGAGACUCAAAGAAAAAUAAGAAUGGUACCUACCACCUGGGCCCAUCAUCUCAAUAUGUGUCAAGACAUCCUAACAAAAUGGAAUAUUAAACCUCACUUCAAAGGGACUCCUCGAGUAUUCUGGGGAUGUAAAGGAGGGAGCAAGUAACUGCUUAGAAGCAUCAGGCAAGCUUUGAAAAGAAGGGUAAAUUUGACCCAUAUGUUGAAGAAUGGGUCAUAAUUCACUCAGCAGAGUAGAGGAUGAAAGAGUAUAUGCAAAGUUAUGGAGAUGAAGACAGCUUGAGAGUGAGUAGUUUGGGAUCUUUAUUGUGUGGGGUGAUGUCUGAGGGCAGGAGAUGAUGGCAGAGGGGUAGGCAAAGGCCAUCAUGAGGGGACUCAUGCAUGGGCCGUGCUGAUGACUGUAGCUACAACUUUGAGGGCAAAAAAGAACAACCCUCGGGAGGAUGUGAAGAGUUGUGCAUUUUAUAAAGCUCUCUGGGGGGCACGGUGGCAGUGUAGAGGAUGUAUCCAAGAGGCUGCCACCGGAGAAGGGGUGAUUUCCCACAUUCCUGAGGGACUGCUAUAGCUGCAAGUGCCCCUAGGCAAGAAGCUACCCAUUAUUGUGAAAAUACACUUUAAUGGUCCUUCAUUCAAAAGAAUCCAAUUAACCAUUUUUCUUCCUUCUAUGUAAAUGUAAAUAUUUCUAUCAUAUGAAGCAUUUAAGACAGCCCUGGAUUGCUUUUCCAGUUAAAAACAUAUUUUAUGUGCCUGUACCUUGUUUAUAGGCUGCCUUUGCCUUUGAAUAAUCUGAAAAUCUCCUCAGUGGUUAAAGCGGUGAGAAGCAUUUCGUUUCACCUUAAAGCACUUUCAUACCAAUUUCACCUCUGCGUCUCCCAUGUCCUGUUCUCUGCACUUUGGGGACGUUAACAUGCAGGCCAUGCUUCCCAAGCCGUCAUGGUGCAUCGAGAAAGAUGGUAUUUGUUCUGCAUAUUGGGCUGGCAGGCGAGUAAACUGAUCUGCGACCGGAGGGUUUUUGUGUGUGAUAAUUGGGUUCUCCUGCAGACAAGCUGGUAUGCAACAUCGGCUGUUGGCAAGUCUAAUGACCUUUUGGACGACUACAGAAAAAAUUGCCAAUUGGCUCUAAAAUAACUGGGUAUCCUGACGUCUUCAUCAGCCUUUUUCGGAGCACUGUUUCCAGAAGAAAAUGAGUAGAAUGAUAUUCAUGCCUGGGAAGCCUGUUUAACCUCCCCUAAGAAGUUACUCUGCCCCACUGCAGCCUGAAGAGGCAAGGCGCCAUCUACCUGUCUCCAACUUGCACGUCAGCUCCAAGGGAGACCUGGUUCACAGAUGUUGGAAUCACAGUUCAUUUUCCACUAUCUUUAUUGACACCAGUUGCUGCCAGUGCUGGUGGGCAGGCAAGAGUUGAGUAUUUAAUGCCUUUCUCUCGCCACUCCCGCCUUCCCAAGAUGAGAAACAGUCACACAUAAACAAACCCAUCCAGAUGUCAAGCAUGAAACCCAAAGUUAAAAUUCCAGACCUUUCUGGGAUCACCAUUCCUGAAGAUGGGGUGAAAAUAACAAGCCUUUGUUCUACAAAUGGAACGCAUUUUUACAUUGAAAUUCCUAAAGACUGGGACAAGAUGCAUUCUUCCUUUUGUUUAUCUUUCCAUGAGGCUGAAAAUUAAUGUCUUCCUUUACAUAGAGAGGAAAGGAUUUUGGAAAGAAGAAAUGGGGCUGGACUGUGGAAUCAGCAAUAGAGAUUGGCUGGGGUGGGGGAGAGGAUUCCUGUUUCUCACUCAUAAGGGAGAAGUGAGUGGUCAUGGGUCCCACUCUGAUUUCCUUGGGUAGAUGAAUUUAAUGUAAUUUUGUUCUUUUUUGGUCAAGGCGAUUAAUUAGAGGCUUAACUAAAUAUGAUUUGACUGUCAUAUUUUUCAGAUUAUUUGAAAAUUCACAAAUCUCUUGGGAAACAAAUCGUGUGUUUUUAGUCAGAAAAAUGUACACCGUGUCUACCUGAGGCCCUUCUAUCCAAGAGCCCAAGGAUGGGCUCGUCCAAGACCCGUGGGGCAGUUAAAGUCAGGAUCAGCACAACGCUGCCGAGAUAGCCUCUUCUUUCUCAUAAGGGCUGGGUGAAGGUGCAGACUAAAGCUUGGGGGCCGGUGGUGUGUGGCCAUUCAUAAUGAGAACGUUAGCAAAAGCGGUGGGAAGGGCCCAAGGGGCUCUCCAUGAAACCUCAGCACCACCUGGGGACUCGGGAGAACCAUGGUUUUAGUGGGGAGAAGAGAGGGCUCAUGAUUUGAGAUCCCCUUCUCACGAGCCAUAUUUCUCCCUAAGAGAGGAUGGUCGUGCAUCUCCUGUGUUGCCUUUGUCAUUCCAUCACUUUAACAAAAAUGCACAAAACCAAUUACUAUGAAGACAUGGAAACCCAGACAAAUUGUCCCAAGAAGUAGCACUUGUUGAUGGCAGAGCCAAGUCUUAAUUAAAAGCUGAGUCUCAGGACUCCCGAUAUGAGGGCACCCGCAGCAGGACACUGCUGAGUGCUAACUGCCUCAUGUCACCUUUAGGUCAUUUUGCUGUAGGAGCUUAGCAUUUAUACCAAGAAACGACAGGCUUAUUUUGGCAGCUGGAGACGGGGAGGACAAAAGAACAUAUAAUAAAGGUAAUAUUUCUUUUGUUAGUAGACUUCAGAGCUAGGCAGAAGGGACUGGGGAAUAAAUAAUUUAAAACCAUGAGACAUGUCUAAACCCACUUCUUCCUGAUCUACACGAAGCUGGCGUCUGUGACUAGACAUGCGGCUUCCAUCUGUCUGGUUUCCUCUGGGUAGUUUUAUUCUACGAUUCUUCCUGCUAAAGGAAAGAUGCUUAUUACACAGUUCAGUGGCACUUAAUGCAAAUUUGAACUAUGUGAAUUUGAAACAGCGUGACCUGGAAGUAAUAACAAGGUCUCAACUGGUUACUCAAAUUUGAAAUUUAAAAAAGCUAUAAAUUCCUCAAAUUAAAAACAAAUUCACACAAAUGAUUACCUUUGGCAUGGAUAAACAACAAGGCCCUACUGUACAGCACAGGGAACUAUAUCCAGUGUCUUGGGAUAAACCAUCAUGGAAAAGAAUAUUUUAAAAAGAAUGUCUAUAUGUGUAAAACUGAGUCACUUUGCUGUACAGCAGAGACUGGCACAGCAUUGUAAAUGAACUAUUCUUCAAUAAAAUAAAAAUUCUCACAAUUUCAAAGCAGGGGGCCUGUAUGAAUUGCAUCCUGUGUUCACACUAUUGCCAGGCGACAGUGUCACUUCAGCUGCUUAAUGGAAAUACCCUGCUUUCCCUGUCAGAGGGCAGUGGAUCACCCUCAGGUUUGCAUGCACCAGAAUUUCUGCAAGGGGUUUUGAUCCCUUUUGUGCUGUUAUUUUAAUAUUCAUUGCUACUUAAACAUUUAAAAAUUUCUGUAUCACAUAACUGUAUCAUCCAAGAUGUCACUGUCAUAUUGCUUGUGCAAGUGCUGAAAAUCAGGUCUGAAAAUCAGUAACUUUGCAGUGAAAUUUACAUAAAAUGCCAUUACACGAGCCAAGUGAACACUGGGAUAGGCCAGGCAAUAAAUUCAGUGAGUCCCCAAAGGAAGAUAUUAGAGAAGAGACUGAGAAAAGAAAAAAAAAUAUAUUAAAGAACAACAUGAUAAAUACAUCUUGAGAUAAUUGUCCCUCCACCUUGCCCUCAACUAUUGUUUUUCCUUUAGAAAAAUUAAUUAUGAAAGCUUUAUAUCAUAUGAGGUUUUCGGGAAUGAAUACUUGAUAUAAAUAAGGAUACACUGUACCUAAGUUAUGGGUUGUGUCCCCUCCAAAAUGUGUUGGAGUCCUAGCCCCCAGGGCCUGUGAAUGUGACCUUAUUUGGAAAUAGGGUCUUUGCAGAUUAUCAAAUUAAGAUGAGGUCAUUAGGGCGGUCCAUAAUCCAGUAUGACUGGUGUCCUUAUAAAAUGUGGAAAUUUGGAUGCACAGACAUAUAUGUGCAGAAGGAAGAUGAUGUGAAGACACAGGUAGAAAGCCAUCUACAAGGCGAAGAGCUCCUGAGGGUAGCACAAGCUGGAGGAGAGGCGUGGGACAGAUUGUCCCUCACAGCCCUUAGAAGGCAGCAACCCUGCUGACAUCUUGAUUUCAGACUUCUGGCCUCCAGAACACUGAGAUAAUAAAUUUCUGUUGUUUAAGCUACUCAGUUUGUGAUACUUUGUUAUGGCAGCCCUAGCAGACUAAUGCACUGACUGACUUUUGUUUAAAUAACUUAUUUUUGAAAAGAGUGCAAAGGUUCCCAAUGUUUUGGCCAACAGAGGACCCUGAGGAAUGCCUGCCUGUUAGGUUACCAGUCCCGAAGGGAGAGCCUUUGCUUUCUCACCGUCAUUUACGUAAGUCCAUCAGGUAAACUUCGAGGCUGAUUGAUUGUACAGCGAAAGGGAGACCUUUGAUUCGGGUGAGGACACUGCAGGGCUAUUUGGAGCAUUGCCUGGAUGACCAGGCGCAAGUUCCCGCUUACAACAGAGCUGGAGUACAAUGGUGGGAACAAUCAGGAAGGUUGAACUUUGCCUAAGGACGUCCGAGGCAAUGUCAAUAACCUGCAUUUUGGUCAAGAGCCAGGUAUGUACAGGUACAGAAGAGCAUGGCUAUAUGGAGAGGUGAGGGCAGCGGUGGGCAGGUUGAGGGGAAGAGUCAGAGCUGAGGCGGUGAAGGGGGUGCAGUCGGAUGUACCACAGUUUAAAGUGCUGCAUAGAGCCGGCACCCCAAGCGGGAUGAGGCUGGAGUUUUUGGUGGACAGAGACCAGGUUGCUGGGGACAGAAACAGAAGCCCUUUCCUCUGUGCUCAGCCAAAGGUGACUGGCAGGGCCAUCCCAGGUGGAGGGGAGGGGCCAAAGCAGCCUGGGCGGUCUGCACUGGGCAAUUUUGGAGUAACGUGUCUAAUCAUUCACAAAGCAAAAUGGUUUCUUGGGGUGAUGCCUAUUUCAUACACAGGUUGGUGAUUUGGGAGAUAAAACCAAGUGUCAGUUAGGCUGCUGUGAUUUCUGAAGCAAAAGUGUCUAAUGAGGACUCUGUGUACAGAACAUGAAAGAGAGUUCAUCAAAGAGGUUGGUACACAGACGCAUCUCCUAGUCUUGGAACGGCUCGGAUGCCUUCUGAUCCGCGGGCUCCAAGUCUGUGCUUCCAUUUCUUCCAUGGUCUGCAUCCCUCCCUCAGUCAGCAUAUGAGCAAACAUGGAGGCGAGCAGAGCUGGUGGGGGGGAUGUAGGGGAUUACGUAUCUUUGGGGGAGGGUGGUCAAGACAACAAUCACAAUAAUAGCAAUGGGAAUCACAGUAACGAAUAUUUCCUGAGGACUUUAGAUGUGCCAGGCCCAGAAUUAAGUACGUUGAUUCUCACUGUAAUCAUGCAAGAAAACUAUUAUUAUUCCUUCCCCAUAGAUGAGAAGCCAGUGUUUCCCAGACAUCAAAUAAAUGCUCUAUGUCACACAGAUGGUAAAUAGUAAGCUAUAAUAAUAUAUGGUAUUAUAGCAAUAUAUAGUAAAUAGAAUCCGUGGCCUGGGUUUUCCUCUCCACAACUCUCAUAAUAAAACACGAGAUUUGGGCUUCCCUGGUGGCGCAGUGGUUGAGAGUCUGCCUGCCGAUGCAAGGGACGCGGGGUCGUGCCCCGGUCCGGGAGGAUCCCACAUGCCGCGAAGCGGCUGGGCCCGUGAGCCGUGGCCGCUGAGCCUGCACGUCUGGAGCCUGUGCUCCGCGAAGGGAGAGGCCACAACAGUGAGAGGCCCACGUAACACACAAAAAAAAAAACACAAGAGAUUUGAGCCACAUUAGUCUCUUGCCACAAGCUGUGACGGGUGGGGAGGGAGAGCUCACAGGACAGCUAGCUCUGUUUUUCCUAGAGAGGUCUAGUAAGUGGCUGUGGAAUGAAAUGAGAAGUGGGCGUAGUGUGUGUAAGUUUCAGGGGAGGGAGAGGGGCUUGCUAUAUAGUGAAAUUCAGAUUUCCUCAGUAUGCCCAGCAAUACCCAUCAUUAGAAAAAGGUAAGGCAGGGGCAAUAACAGCAAAAGAAAUUCAUGGUUUGGUCUACUUGUUAUUACUGUGAAUUGCUGUUCCUUCCUAUAGAGUGAAAUUCUGAGGUUAUCAAGAUGAAAUUUCAGAAAUGGUCUCUUUGCCCAUUAUGUAUUGCAACUUGGAGAGCAACGUUUCCUUAUCAAACAUUGUUUCAGGGAGGUUGAUCACACUUGAGUUCCUCUUUUGCUCCAUUUUCAGCUGGCAAAUGCUGGCCGAGCUUCGGUGGUAUUUGUGCGUGCAGUCAUAAGCUGUCAUUUGGGUAAUAAAGGGGAGGGAGUCUAUCUUGAGAGUAUGUUCUCCAACAGAGCCAGGAGCGUUCUGUGCAACUAGAAUUACCUGAAUUAUUAAGCUUAUAGCUGAGUUAGACUAUAGCACUUGGCUGAGGUCAAGGUAGGCUUGAGGGUGGCCUGCAUGAGGCCAUCUGAAGGCUAAGGUGGUGCAGUUGAGUGGAGGCCCAGAGGAAUCCGGGCAUGGGCUCCUUGCUUGGGCUGCAGAAAUGAUCCUGUGUCAGGCAGAGAGUCUGAAGGGCAGGGGAGGCUGGAAGGAAUGGUGGGGACCUGGGCCAGUGUCCUCUGCAGAACCCAUGACACCGACUCUUCCUCUGGCCAGCCUGAGCCAUUCUGUGCCCACCGUUAGUCCAAUAGGCUGCUAUAUUAGUUUCCCGAGGCUGUUGUAAAAAUGACCUGAAACUUGGUGGCUUAUAACAACAGAUGUUUAUUUUCUCAUGUUUAUUUUCUGGGGGCCAGGGGAGGAUCCUCCCCUGCCUCUUCUAGCUGCUGGUGGCUGUCAGCCCUCCUUGGCCUCCUUGGCCUGCAUCACUCCAACCUCUGCCUCCAUGGCCACAAACCCUCUUCCUCUUCCUGUGUCACCUCUCCUGUCUCGUAUAAGGACACUCGUCACUGGAUUUAGGACCCACCUGAGUAAUCCUGGAUGAUUUCAUCUCAAGAUCUUUAACUUAAUUACUUCUGCAAGUAAUUUUAUGAAAUAAGGGAACAUUCACAGGUUCUAGGCAUGAAGAAAUGGAAAAAUCUUUUUGGGAACCACCAUUCAACCCAUCCUACGUGCCAAACGAGGGAACUGUGAGGACCUAUAUAUUUGUUGUUUUUUUAAACAAAUGUUUCUUGGUCUCUGUGUCACACGUAUUGCCUGGGCUUGAAUUUUUGUGGGUGGCAUUUAGUGGCAAAGGGAGCCAAAUUUCAGGGUGUCUUUUAACCAAAGCUAUGCUCCUAGGUGACCUGUAGGUGACUCUCCUCUGUCUGCAGCCUCCCAAUCGAAUACUCUGCAGCUCCUCCUCUUCCUGUGCCCUUCAUCCCAUGGUGGGCACAUUAGGCUCAAUAACUAUUAAGAAUGCAAGGGAUGGGACUUCCCUGGUGGUCCAGUGGUAAAGAAUCCGCCUUCCAAUGCAGGGGACGCAAGUUCGAUCCCUGGUCGGGGAACUAAGAUCCCACAUGCCACAACUAAGCCCGUGUGCCACAACUACUGAGCUCAUGAGCCUCGAUGAGAGAGCCCACGUGUCGCAAACUACGGAGCCCAUGUGCCCUGGAGCCUGCGUGCCACAACUAGAGAGGGCCCCGAGCACCACAACAAAGAGACCGCGUGCGUAACGAGAAGAUCCCGCACGCCUCAACGAAGAUCCCAUGUGUCACAACUAAGAGCCGGCACAGCCAAACAAAGAGGAAAAUAAAUAAAUAUUUUAAAACAAAGAAUGCAAGGGACUUCAGAAACCAUCUAAUUCGCAUGGGUUCAAGUGUUUAGCACAACUGUAACCGGCUCUACCCUAGACUCAUGACAGAUAAUAAUCACUUAUCGUGACACCAGUCCAGCUGGAGCCUCAGACUUCUCAGGCCAGCCCUCAGAGCAGCCACUGCCACAGCUCCCUACCCCAUGCAGACACAUGGAACCUGUCACUCUACCAACUUGACUUACGACAUACCGCACAGCCAUUCUGCUCUGCACGUUUCAGGCCCCAUCUGCUAACCCAUAUAAAAAGCAAAAUUUAUAUUAAAUAGUAUUUUAGAAAAACUAUCAUGGCCUAAACUGAACAUCAUUUGUCAGGAAACAAAGCAUAUGUUGACAAUUUUGUUUUGGAUUCUUGGCUUGGGGCCAUUUGAGUCCUAGGCAGAAGGAGAGCCCCUCUUGGGGGGUCCCCAUUGUCCCCUGCAGUGUUGUCCCUGACACCUCCUUUUCCCAUGAGCAGUUCCCACCGUGAGGCUGGGUGGCUGAGAUGCUGACCUCCUUAGAAAUUCACAUUGGCCCUGUUUAGACCUAUUGUUAGAAAAGAACAGCCCUAAAACAUCACAUUCAACUCA